rnacentral:snRNA from 1 species
CGAUCCUUUAGACCUUCG